rnacentral:rRNA from 1 species
GAGGCCGAUAGGCGUAGGCGAUGGACAACAGGUUGAUAUUCCUGUACCAGUUGUUUUUGUUUGAGCAAUGGAGGGACGCAGUAGGCUAAGGAAUGCAUGCGAUUGGAAGUGCAUGUCCAAGCAAUGAGUCUUGAGUAGAGUUAAAUGCUUUACUCUUUAAGGACAAGUUGUGACGGGGAGCGAAAUAAUAGUAGCGAAGUUCCUGAUGUCACACUGCCAAGAAAAGCUUCUAGUGAGAAAACAACUGCCCGUACCGUAAACCGACACAGGUAGUCGAGGAGAGUAUCCUAAGGUGAGCGAGCGAACUCUCGUUAAGGAACUCGGCAAAAUGACCCCGUAACUUCGGGAGAAGGGGUGCUGACUUCGGUCAGCCGCAGUGAAUAGGCCCAAGCGACUGUUUAUCAAAAACACAGGUCUCUGCAAAAUCGUAAGAUGAAGUAUAGGGGCUGACGCCUGCCCGGUGCUGGAAGGUUAAGAGGAUGGGUUAGCUUCGGCGAAGCUCAGAAUUGAAGCCCCAGUAAACGGCGGCCGUAACUAUAACGGUCCUAAGGUAGCGAAAUUCCUUGUCGGGUAAGUUCCGACCCGCACGAAAGGCGUAACGAUUUGGGCACUGUCUCAACGAGAGACUCGGUGAAAUUUUAGUACCUGUGAAGAUGCAGGUUACCCGCGACAGGACGGAAAGACCCCAUGGAGCUUUACUGUAGUUUGAUAUUGAGUGUUUGUACCACAUGUACAGGAUAGGUAGGAGCCGAUGAGACCGGAACGCUAGUUUCGGAGGAGGCGCUGGUGGGAUACUACCCUUGUGUUAUGAACCCUCUAACCCGCACCACUAAUCGUGGUGGGAGACAGUGUCAGAUGGGCAGUUUGACUGGGGCGGUCGCCUCCUAAAAGGUAACGGAGGCGCCCAAAGGUUCCCUCAGAAUGGUUGGAAAUCAUUCGAAGAGUGUAAAGGCAGAAGGGAGCUUGACUGCGAGACCUACAAGUCGAGCAGGGACGAAAGUCGGGCUUAGUGAUCCGGUGGUUCCGCAUGGAAGGGCCAUCGCUCAACGGAUAAAAGCUACCC